rnacentral:lncRNA from 10 species
GUAUUUUCUCUAUGAGGUGAUUUUUCUUUUUUUUUUUAAUUAUACUUUAAGUUCUAGGGUACAUGUGCACAACGUGCAGGUUUGUUACAUAUGUAUACAUGUGCCGUGUUGCUGUGCUGCACCCAUUAAUUCGUCAUUUACAUUAGGUAUAUCUCCUAAUGCUAUCCCUCCCCCUUCCCCCUACCCCAUGACAUUGUGGUUCUCCUUGAAGAGGUCCCUCACAUCACUUGUAAGUUGGGUUCCUAGGUAUUUUAUUCUCUUUGAAUGGGAGUUCACUCAUGAUUUGGCUCUCUGUUAGUCUGUUAUUGGUGUAUAAGAAUGCUUGUGAUUUUUGCACAUUGAUUUUGUAUCUUGAGACUUUGCUGAAGUUGCUGAUCAGCUUAAGGAGAUUUUGGGCUGAGACGAUGGGGUUUUCUAAAUAUACAAUCAUGUCUUCUGCAAACAGGGACAGUUUGACUUCCUCUUUUCCUAAUUGAAUACCCUUUAUUUCUUUCUCCUGCCUGAUUGCCCUGGCCAGAACUUCCAACACUAUGUUGAAUAGGAGUGGUGAGAGAGGGC